AGUGAACGCUGGCGGUAGGCCUAACACAUGCAAGUCGAACGGCAGCACAGUAAGAGCUUGCUCUUACGGGUGGCGAGUGGCGGACGGGUGAGGAAUACAUCGGAAUCUACUUUUUCGUGGGGGAUAACGUAGGGAAACUUACGCUAAUACCGCAUACGACCUACGGGUGAAAGCAGGGGAUCUUCGGACCUUGCGCGAUUGAAUGAGCCGAUGUCGGAUUAGCUAGUUGGCGGGGUAAAGGCCCACCAAGGCGACGAUCCGUAGCUGGUCUGAGAGGAUGAUAGGCCACACUGGAAUUGGGAAACGGACCAGAACCCUAGGGGGGGCAAAAGGGGGGAAUAUUGGAAAAGGGGGGAAAGCCUGAUCCAGCCAUACCGGGGGGGUGAAGAAGGCCUUAGGGUGGUAAACCCCUUUUGGUGGGAAAAAAAAACAGCAGGUUAAAACCCCGCUGUUAUGACGGAACCAAAAAAAUAAGCACCGGCAAACUUCGG
rnacentral:rRNA from 1 species